GGUAGUCCACGCCGUAAACGAUGUCAACUAGCCGUUGGAAUCCUUGAGAUUUUAGUGGCGCAGCUAACGCAUUAAGUUGACCGCCUGGGGAGUACGGCCGCAAGGUUAAAACUCAAAUGAAUUGACGGGGGCCCGCACAAGCGGUGGAGCAUGUGGUUUAAUUCGAUGCAACGCGAAGAACCUUACCUACUCUUGACAUCCAGAGAACUUAGCAGAGAUGCUUUGGUGCCUUCGGGAACUCUGAGACAGGUGCUGCAUGGCUGUCGUCAGCUCGUGUUGUGAAAUGUUGGGUUAAGUCCCGCAACGAGCGCAACCCUUAUCCUUUGUUGCCAGCGGUUCGGCCGGGAACUCAAAGGAGACUGCCAGUGAUAAACUGGAGGAAGGUGGGGAUGACGUCAAGUCAUCAUGGCCCUUACGAGUAGGGCUACACACGUGCUACAAUGGCGCAUACAAAGAGAAGCGACCUCGCGAGAGCAAGCGGACCUCAUAAAGUGCGUCGUAGUCCGGAUUGGAGUCUGCAACUCGACUCCAUGAAGUCGGAAUCGCUAGUAAUCGUAGAUCAGAAUGCUACGGUGAAUACGUUCCCGGGCCUUGUACACACCGCCCGUCACACCAUGGGAGUGGGUUGCAAAAGAAGUAGGUAGCUUAACCUUCGGGAGGGCGCUUACCACUUUGUGAUUCAUGACUGGGGUGAAGUCGUAACAAGGUAACC
rnacentral:rRNA from 1 species